ACUCAAAUGAAUUGACGGGGGCCCGCACAAGCGGUGGAGCAUGUGGUUUAAUUCGACGCAACGCGAAGAACCUUACCCAGGCUUGACAUCCAGAGAACCCCUUCGAAAGUUGGGGGUGCCCUUCGGGGAGCUCUGAGACAGGUGCUGCAUGGCUGUCGUCAGCUCGUGUCGUGAGAUGUUGGGUUAAGUCCCGCAACGAGCGCAACCCUCGUCCUUAGUUACCAGCUUUAAGUUGGGGACUCUAGGGAGACUGCCGGUGUUAAACCGGAGGAAGGUGGGGAUGACGUCAAGUCCUCAUGGCCCUUAUGCCUGGGGCCACACACGUGCUACAAUGGUCGGUACAAAGGGCUGCCAGCUCGAGAGAGUGAGCCAAUCCCAAAAAACCGAUCUCAGUUCGGAUUGAAGUCUGCAACUCGACUUCAUGAAGUUGGAAUCGCUAGUAAUCGCGCAUCAGAACGGCGCGGUGAAUACGUUCCCGGGCCUUGUACACACCGCCCGU
rnacentral:rRNA from 1 species